rnacentral:rRNA from 1 species
GAGUUUGAUCAUGGCUCAGAUUGAACGCUGGCGGCAGGCUUAACACAUGCAAGUCGAACGAUGAUUACUAGCUUGCUAGUAUGAUUAGUGGCGAACGGGUGAGUAAUGCUUAGGAAUCUGCCUAUUAGUGGGGGACAACAUUCCGAAAGGAAUGCUAAUACCGCAUACGUCCUACGGGAGAAAGCAGGGGAUCGCAAGACCUUGCGCUAAUAGAUGAGCCUAAGUCGGAUUAGCUAGUUGGUGGGGUAAAGGCCUACCAAGGCGACGAUCUGUAGCUGGUCUGAGAGGAUGAUCAGCCACACUGGGACUGAGACACGGCCCAGACUCCUACGGGAGGCAGCAGUGGGGAAUAUUGGACAAUGGGCGAAAGCCUGAUCCAGCCAUGCCGCGUGUGUGAAGAAGGCCUUUUGGUUGUAAAGCACUUUAAGUGGGGAGGAAAAGCUAAUAAUUAAUACCUAUAGCCCUGACGUA